rnacentral:rRNA from 1 species
GAGCUUUUCCUAGUACGAAAGGACCGAAAAAGCAUAGCCAAUACUUAAAGCARGCUAUCACUACKAAUUUAUGAUAACCACUUAAUUUAUUACUAGCCUACAACUGCCCUCAAAAUAAGGGG